UUCUCCCCAGACCUGAAGAUACCCGGCUCCGGCAAAUGAGAAAAUACUAAUCUGGCCAAUUCAUCGCAGACACGCACAGCAUUUUACUACUGAAGCUGGUGACACACCCAUCAGAUGUAUGGAUUUGCUCCUCUUAGCGAUUCCUACCUCGGGCAAAAUGCAGGAGGCACCAGUACUUUGGCCGCAGCCUUGGAAGGACCGGCUUGGGAAUUCGUUGGACAGACAAAAAAAGGCCUGGAACAUUGCAUCAACCUGCUGCGAACCUCCAAGCUGCCUGCACAACAGCACAUGCUUGCAUAAUGGGUGACUUCAAGCUAGAGGGCAACUUCAAAAGAGGCAACACCUGUUUCCAAACAGGGGCAAGAGUUCAUCGCUGCUGCUCGGAGAACGUGGCCUGUGCAGGGGCGCUUAGUAGAGUACUUUGCACACAGUAAGCACUCAAUAAAUACGAUUAUUAAGAAUAA